CAUGGUCAAACAACCAUUUUUAUGUCUUCGGUUCACUACCUAUGUUUUUGACUCUAUUGGCCGGUAAGGCUGUUUUGGCUUGAUGUGAGCUGUAUAGCACACAUUUUAUGGUCGAACAACCAUUUUCAUGUCUCUAGUCCAGCGCCUAUGUUUUUGGUCUCUAAAGGAUGGUAAGGCUUUUGUUGGCCACCAAUGAGCUAUAGCACAUGUUUUUAUGUCAUUUUCAUGUCUUCGAUCUACAACCUAUAUAAGUUUGAGUCCCUGUAGGUCGGUAAGGCAUUUUUGGUCAUCCAUGAGCUAUAGCACAUGUUUUUUAUCAUCGAACCAUGAUUUCGUGCUCCCGUCUGCCACCCAUGUUUUGGUCCCUGAGAAUGGUAAGACUAUUUUUGUACUCCGGUGAGCUAUAACACAUGUUUUCAUAGUCGAACAAUCAUUUUUGUCUCCGUUCUGCCACCCACAUUUUGUACCCUGGAGCUCGGUGAAGCAGUUUUUGCCUCCCAUUAGCUACAACACACGUUUCUAUGAACAAAUUGCCAAUUUUGGGUAUUUGGUCCACCGCCCACUUCUUAGUCCUCAGAGGCUGGUAAGGUUGUUUUUGGCCUCCCUUGAGCUAUAACACACAUUUUCAUGGACGAACAACCAUUUUCAUGUCUUCUGUCUUUCUCGGGCAGGAGUAGUCACGACUCGCCAGAAGCUAGCUCUGGGCGGGAGAAGCAGUCACGACUCGCCCGAUACUGACCUCGGGUGGGAGCGCAGAAAUGCUCCAUAGGCCGCUUGAUGGGCCUCCCGAUGACUUGCCUAGCAAGACAUGCCCUUGAGCCGCAACCAAGCUGGAUGAGCUCUACCGAUGAGGCAAAGACCAGACGACCGAGUCUUGCGCUAAUGCCUCGGGUAGGGAGGUUGAGCACUCGACCCAGGGAGGCAAAGACCAGAUGACCGAGUCAUGUGCUGAUACCUCGAGUAGGGAGGUUGUGCAUACCAGAAGUGCUAGAUACCCGGAGAUGACUCGGAUGAAGGGCAAUUGAACUCUGGAUAAGCAGGAAUGCAUGCCACACUACAAGGAGGAUUCAGGUAGAGUUAUAGUCAUCACGACUUGUAAAAGGACAAUCUUCUGGUCGUCUUUACAAGGCUGAGGGGGUGCCCCUACGAUCUCAUAUUGGCUCACAUCACAUCUCAGCUCGUCAUAACUUCAUAGUUCAUUAGCCCUCCCACAGAAAUCACACCACCACUAGAUUGACAGGAGGACUCACUCUCCACCGCCAUAGCUCAUCUGCAACCCGUGUAUGAAAGCAUCCAGGCCCCUGGUUGGUUUUAGUGAUUAAUGACAACAUAAGAUUAUAUGUGACUAACGUGUGUUUUGCAGAGCAAAUGGUAAGUUAGGUCGUAUUAUAGGAAGUUGUGUUGCAACGGUGAAAACAAUUCCUGAGAUGAGAACUUGAAGCGGCGGCUGAAAAGACGAAUCAAAAGAUGAAGAUCUUCAUAUUCCAAGUGUCGAAGGAGUUGCGGGCACUUGGUAUAGAAUUAGGUCUUCUAUUUUUAUUUUAUUGUAUUAUAAAGAGGGGUUGUGG
rnacentral:lncRNA from 1 species